UGCUGGGGCUGCAGGGAACUCUCCCUGGGUUGUCCAUUGAAAGGUUUUCAAUGGUGAGCAGGGCCUGCAGUGAAACCACAUGCCUGCCCUCAGUCCAUCUUCUUGGGCUGCAAUUGCAGUGGUGUGUGUGUGUUUAUCUUCCCUUCUCCUCAGGGCAGGAGUUACUUUGGAUUGGUGCUGUUCCCUGUCAGAUAUACUUGCAAAGUGUGUCUCAGCUGGAGCUACUUUGGAGGGAUACUGGCCCAAGCUUGGAUAUAAUGGUUCCAAAGGCGAUUGGAGGGACAGAGAACUCCUUGUUAGCGAGGGCAUUGUAGAUUCUCCUGUUACUUUCUUCUCUUCUAAAGCAUCCUGACCAUCCCCUCACUCUGAGCCCAGUAUUAAAUGAAGGUAAACAUGGUCUUGGACUUCUGGAUAUGGAAAAGGAGACAUUGAGAGGCUGAAAAGAGGAGGAAAAGGAACCCUGUAAUCAAUAGAAAAUAUCAGAAAAGACCAUUUGAAGGGGGCACCACUAAUACACAUUUGAAACAAGCCGUGGAUAUGUUGUAUGAAACCUUUUAGGGUAUCUAAAGAAGUUGAAGUAAUUUUUCAGGGGAGUAAAUGUAAAGCAUAUCUGUUGUUUGGGAUUUUUAACUUGUACAAUUCAUGGCUGAAGUUACAGUGAAUAUGGAAGGGAUGAUUUCCUUAUGAAAUCUGAACUCUUCACAAUUCUAAGUGUACUAUUCUUCCAACCAAGACUUCCACCUCCAUCAAACCCUUUCCUUGUGACUACUUUCCCAAAGUCUUGACACAAAGAAUGAUAUUGGUAAAAACUUCUCCGUUCCCAUUCAUGACUCAGUUUCAAGCCCCUCCACUUACAUACUGCUGUCUUCAAUCCAUGAAUAUUAUGUUCUUUUUCACCUUCUCCCCAUUUCUUUUUAUGCUUCCUUACCUGUGUCAUCUCUGAAUUAUAGCUUCCUUUUAUAUACCAUCUCCCUUCUUGUCCCUCUUUUUCAGUUCUUUGCUUUUGGAAAAGGAAAAAUACUAGGCAAAGGCAAUUCCUCAUCCACUCACUACCUACGUUUGAAUUUUAAUUUAAUGAAAAAUAAACAUCAACUCCAACUAAUUUUACUUCAUGUUCAUGACCACCAACUUCAAGUGAGCCUUUGGAAAUGCCUUUGCUGGUCAUCUUGAUUGCUUCCCCCCUGUAUUCUAUUUCUAGCCUUUAUUUCCUUUAGGUUUCAUUAGCUAUUCCUUUUCUAUAUUUAUAUAAUGUCUUUGAUCAUUGAUUUUUAGCACUUAUUCAUUUUUAAUGUAUUCUUUUAAAGCUAUAAGCUCUACUCAUAAAGGAGUUUAACUGUAACUCAUAGGUUUCCUAUGUCCUAUUAUGUUUUGACCAGUUAGUCAAAAUGUUCUAAUUUUCAUUGUGAUUUCUUUUUUGACCUAACAAUUUUUAAAAGAAUAUCAUAUUUCAAACGUUGAAGGUUGUGUUAUUAGUUUUGAGGUCAAUUCUGUGAUGUUCAGAGAAUAUACUGAGAUUUAAAUCCUUUAAAAUUUGCUGAAACUUUCUUUAAGGCCUAGCCAUGUAAAAAAAAAAAAAAAAUUCCAUUUGAAAUGACUGUAAACUAUGUACCUAUUUGAUGUCAGGUUACAUGUGUCAGUUACAUUAAAUUUAUUAAUUGGAUUGUUCAAAUAUUCUGUAAUAGUUCUAUCAGUUACUAAAAGAUGUUUGUUAAAAUCUGUCUACGGUUUGUGUAUUUUUUUUCUGUUCUAAUUUACUUAAUAUAUUGUGAAGCUAUGAGACUGGAGGCCUACAAACUUAGAAUCAUUAUACCUUCAGUCGACUGAAACUUGUAUCAUUAUGAAGUAGUCUUUUUUCCUCUGGUAGUUUUGCCUUAAGUUCUAUUGAUAUAUUAAUAUGACAAUGUAGCUACACCAGCUUUAUUUCUAUUAUUGACAGAUGGUUUUCAACCUUUUUGCUUUCAGUCAUUUUGUAUCCUUAGAGUUAAGACCUGUCUCUUGGAGCAGAUAUUGUCUAUGUUCCCUCCAUUCCCUUGGACCACUUACAUAUCCAUUCCUGUGCAUACCAGCUUAUCAACAUCCAACACUUAAAUCAAUUUUGAGGACUGCCCUCAGGCUGCAGCACCCACUUUGCCCAUAGGCAAAAGUGUCCAGAAAUACCUGGGAAUUAACAUUCCCCAGAGGCACCCCUUAACUUAUGACUGACAGGUAUGGAAGGAUGAGUACCUCAGUUUGCUUGAACUUUGGCAGGGUUGUGCACUUUGCAGUACUUUCUAGGAUUUCCUCACUGUUUUAAGCACCAAUCAUGGCCCUCUGGCAGCUGACUUGACAGCGUCCUCUUGAUAUACUGCCUUGCCUUCCCUAUAUCACAUCUUCUCCUAUCCUUGUUAAUAGGCUACUUACACUUGAUUCCUUGGCACAAUGUCUGCUUCUAAAGUAAUCCAAACAAAGAGGGUUUUUGAAACAAGUUUUCAAAUCUAGUUUGAGGUUUGUAUAUUCGACUAUUACUAUUUUACACUUAAUAAAAUUACUGACUUAAGGAUUUAAAUCAAUCCAUGACUAUUUGAUUUGUAUUUAUGCUACCAGUUCUAGGCACUUUAAUUUUUAAGGAUUUUCAAGUGUUGUGCCUCUUGUUGGCUAAUAAGCCAUACAUUGUUCUGCCAUUCUUAGUAGUUUUUAGUUAUUACAAUAUGCAUUUUGACUUACUAAUGUCUGCUAUAAAUGAGUACUGUUAUUUCCUAUAGCCAUUCUUUUAUUAAGGACUUCAGAUGAUUUGAUGCUCAUAGGAAAUCAUUGAUAUAGAUAAGCCUAUAUUACAUUGGUAAGUCAACAUUCUAAGCUGGAUAUAUUUAAUCAAGAGACCAUACUUUUAAGGCAAACACAAUAUGUGGUAUAAAA